rnacentral:rRNA from 1 species
CCUACGGGUGGCAGCAGUAGGGAAUCUUCCACAAUGGGCGAAAGCCUGAUGGAGCAACGCCGCGUGGGUUCCUCCUUUCUUCUUCUCUUCCCCCCCUGUUGUUAGAGAAGAAAGUGCGUGAGAGUAACUGUUCACGUUUCGACGGUAUCUAACCAGAAAGCCACGGCUAACUACGUGCCAGCAGCCGCGGUAAUACGUAGGUGGCAAGCGUUAUCCGGAUUUAUUGGGCGUAAAGGGAACGCAGGCGGUCUUUUAAGUCUGAUGUGAAAGCCUUCGGCUUAACCGGAGUAGUGCAUUGGAAACUGGGAGACUUGAGGGCAGAAGAGGAGAGUGGAACUCCAUGUGUAGCGGUGAAAUGCGUAGAUAUAUGGAAGAACACCAGUGGCGAAAGCGGCUCUCUGGUCUGUAACUGACGCUGAGGUUCGAAAGCGUGGGUAGCAAACAGGAUUAGAUACCCUUGUAGUC